rnacentral:tRNA from 1 species
GUUUUAAUAGUUUAAAUAAAAACAAUGAUCUUGUAAAUCAUAAAUAGGAAAUAACCUUUAAAACU